rnacentral:tRNA from 4 species
GGGGCGUUAGCUCAGUUGGGAGAGCACCUGGCUUUUAACCAGGGGGUCGGUGGUUCGAUCCCACCACGCCCCACCA